GACUUAAAUGGGGUGGGAAAUGGCCCCAAAUUGGUCCCUCCAAAAUUGAGCCCCAAUAAUGGCCCUAAAUGGGGGGAAUUGACCCCAAAAUGGGCUUAAAUGGGCCCAAAAUGGCCCUAAAUGGGGGGAAUUGACCCCAAAAUGGCCCUAAAAGGGGUUAUAUGGCCCUAAAUGGGGUUAUAUGGCCCCAUAAUGGGCCUAAAUGGGGGGAAUUGACCCCAAAAUGGCCCUAAAAGGGGUUAUAUGGCCCUAAAUGGGUUUAUAUGGCCCCAUAAUGGGCCUAAAUGGGGGGAAAUGGCCCCAAAAUGGGCUUAAAUGGGGGGAAUUGACCCCAAAAUGGCCCUAAAAGGGGUUAUAUGGCCCUAAAUGGGGGGAAUUGACCCCAAAAUGGCCCUAAAAGGGGUUAUAUGGCCCUAAAUGGGGUUAAAUGGCCCCAAAAUGGCCCUAAAUGGGGGGAAAUGGCCCCAAAAUUGCCUUAAAUGGGGAGAAAUGGCCCUAAAUGGGGAGAAAUGGCCCCAAAAUGGGCUUAAAUGGGGAGAAAUGGCCCCAAAAUGGGCUUAAAUGGGCCCAAAAUGGCCCCAAAUGGGUUUAUAUGGCCCUAAAAUGGGCUUAAAUGGGGGGAAUUGACCCCAAAAUGGCCUUAAAUGGGGGAAAUGGCCCCAAAAUGGGCUUAAAUGGGGGAAAUGGACCCAAAAUGGCCUUAAAUGGGGCCAAAAUGGGACUAAAUGGGUUUAUAUGGCCCCAAAAUGGGCCUAAAUGGGAGGAAUUGACCCCAAAAUGGGCUUAAAUGGGGGGAAUUGACCCCAAAAUGGCCCUAAAUGGGGGGAAUUGACCCCAAAAUGGCCCUAAAAGGGGUUAUAUGGCCCUAAAUGGGUUAAUAUGGCCCCAAAAUGGCCUUAAAUGGGCCCAAAAUGGGCCUAAAUUGGGGGAAAUGGCCCCAAAAUGGCCCUAAAUGGGGGGAAUUGAAACCAAAAUGGCACUAAUGACCCCAAAACAGCCCCAAAUCAC
rnacentral:lncRNA from 1 species